GCCUAUGGCGACUGUGCGGGCAACCGUAAGGUUGGCCGGUUCGUCUUGCGUCCGGUAUUGCGACCCCGCGCAGAUCGCCUCCAUU
rnacentral:antisense_RNA from 1 species